rnacentral:rRNA from 1 species
UGGGAAUAUUGCACAAUGGGCGAAAGCCUGAUGCAGCGACGCCGCGUGAGGGAUGACGGCCUUCGGGUUGUAAACCUCUUUCAGCAGGGAAGAAGCGAAAGUGACGGUACCUGCAGAAGAAGCGCCGGCUAACUACGUGCCAGCAGCCGCGGUAAUACGUAGGGCGCAAGCGUUGUCCGGAAUUAUUGGGCGUAAAGAGCUCGUAGGCGGUUAGUCGCGUCUGCUGUGAAAACUCGAGGCUCAACCUCGGGCUUGCAGUGGGUACGGGCUGACUAGAGUGCGGUAGGGGUGACUGGAAUUCCUGGUGUAGCGGUGGAAUGCGCAGAUAUCAGGAGGAACACCGAUGGCGAAGGCAGGUCACUGGGCCGCAACUGACGCUGAGGAGCGAAAGCAUGGGGAGCGAACAGGAUUAGAUACCCUGGUAGUCCAUGCCGUAAACGUUGGGCACUAGGUGUGGGGUCCAUUUCCACGGAUUCCGUGCCGCAGCAAACGCAUUAAGUGCCCCGCCUGGGGAGUACGGCCGCAAGGCU